CGAGCACGCGCGUGUGGCAUAUCAAUAAGCGGAGGAAAAGAAACUAACAAGGAUUCCCCUAGUAACGGCGAGUGAAGCGGGAAGAGCUCAAAUUUGAAAUCUUAAAGGGUUUCCCUUUACGAAUUGUAGUUUAAAGAAGUGUUUUCUGUUGGAGUUUCGGUAAAAGUUCUUUGGAAUAGGACGUCAUAGAGGGUGAGAAUCCCGUAUUUGACCGUUACUUUCCAGCUGUGUGAUACACUUUCAAAGAGUCGGAUUGUUUGGGAAUGCAGUCCAAAAUGGGUGGUAAAUUUCAUCUAAAGCUAAAUAUUGGCGAGAGACCGAUAGCGAACAAGUACCGUGAGGGAAAGAUGAAAAGAACUUUGAAAAGAGAGUUAAACAGUACGUGAAAUUGUCAAAAGGGAAGCGUUUGACACCAGUGUUGUUUAGUUGAAAAUCAAUUAAAUAUUUUUCGAUUUUAAGUAGUAUUGACCUUAUCAGCUUGCUGCUUUUUUCUCGGAAAUUAUUUAAUGCACUUUUCAGUUAACAAGUCAACAUCAAUUUCUUUUGUUGUAAAAAGGUAAGAGGAAGGUGGCUUGCGCUUCGGCUCAAGUGUUUAUAGCCUUUUACCCCUGCAAUCGGAGAGAUUGAGGUCUGCAGCGUAGAUCCUUCGGGGUUAGAUACAUUUGUGCUAAGCUAUAGCCUUGUAUAGACAACUUGUUGACUAUGCUCAGUCAUGUAGCUUACUCGCUUAUGCUAUUUUACCUACGCUUAGGAUGUUGAACUCUAUCACACACAG
rnacentral:rRNA from 1 species